UGACCUCGGAUCAGGUAGGGAUACCCGCUGAACUUAAGCAUAUCAAUAAGCGGAGGAAAAGAAACCAACCGGGAUUGCCUCAGUAACGGCGAGUGAAGCGGCAAGAGCUCAAAUUUGAAAGCUGGCUCCUUCGGGGUCCGCAUUGUAAUUUGCAGAGGAUGCUUCGGGUGCGGCCCCUGUCUAAGUGCCCUGGAACGGGCCGUCAGAGAGGGUGAGAAUCCCGUCUGGGAUGGGGUGUCCGCGCCCGUGUGAAGCUCCUUCGACGAGUCGAGUUGUUUGGGAAUGCAGCUCUAAAUGGGUGGUAAAUUUCAUCUAAAGCUAAAUACUGGCCGGAGACCGAUAGCGCACAAGUAGAGUGAUCGAAAGAUGAAAAGCACUUUGAAAAGAGAGUUAAAAAGCACGUGAAAUUGUUGAAAGGGAAGCGCUUGCGACCAGACUCGCCUCCAGGGUUCAGCCGGCAUUCGUGCCGGUGUACUUCCCUGGGGGCGGGCCAGCGUCGGUUUGGGCGGCCGGUCAAAGGCUCCCGGAAUGUAGUGCCCUUCGGGGCACCUUAUAGCCGGGAGUGCAAUGCGGCCAGCCUGGACCGAGGAACGCGCUUCGGCACGGACGCUGGCAUAAUGGUCGCAAACGACC
rnacentral:rRNA from 1 species